rfam:Buchnera aphidicola (Schlechtendalia chinensis) strain SC, complete genome.
AAAUUUAUAAUACAUUUAGAUUAGUGUAGUAUUCGAAAUACGAUACAAUUAUAGGGGUUUCAUAGUGGCGCGUAUUGCAGGAAUUAAUAUUCCAGAU